CCCUGGCAGAACAACGGGAAUACCCGCAAUCAUGAUAUUAUAAGGUAAUAGCAUAAAAAGAAGCGAAUUAGCUAUUGAAACGUCCCGCCCGAUGAGGGUCGUUUAGUAAAAUUCCCUUGGGCGCCGCUCGAUUCGGGUCAUUUAGUAAAACUUUACUAAAUUUUAGUAAAAUUUUACUAAAUGACCCUCAUCGAGCGGCGCCCAAGGGAAUUAUACUAAACGACCCUCAUCGGGCGGGACGUUUUAAUAGCUAAUUCGCUUCUUUUUAUGCUAUUACUUAUAAUAAACUGCUGGUGACCUUCAUUGACUCUUGGGGCUUGAUGGACUCUUUGCAAUUAAUAAGCUGAUCCGAAUCACAGGGGUUUCAUUCCCGGCACAAUAGCUAUUAGGGACGGACCAUUAGAAAAGUGAUGGGGGGGGGAGGGGAUUUUCUAAGAGGCAAUAUUUUUUUUUUUGUACACCUAUAGAAGAAAUAUAUUUUUUUUCUCACUUGAUGGUUGGAAAUAUUUUUUUUUUAAGUGAAAUUUAUAGGCCUAUCAGUGGUGUAGUCCUGGAAUGUUAACAAGGGGGCUCUCCAAAGUGUCCUGAAUUGGCGGGAGGGGUGUACAAUAAGAUAUUUUGGAAAUUCUAAAUUUUGUUGGGGUUUAUUCUAGAAAUUGUGGGACAAACAUUCGACGUUAUUCUUAUUAAAAACAAAGGGGCUGAAAGCGAGGGCCGAAGGCCCGAGGAAAUUCUUAAAUUUAGAGUCUCUGAAAUGCCAUUUCCUGGACUUUGGGGAAGAUUUGACAGAAUUCUGAUGGUCAGAAAACAGCGUUUUAGUAUGUCGAAAUUUACAAUUUAGUAGUAUUAAAUGGGCGAAGGCGUAUUUAGUUAACUAUAUAUUGGAUAAAUUGCAGGAAAUUAUGGGUAAUAUCUUCAUUCUUUGCAAUUUGUCAUGGAUAAUGUACAGCUUACAAUUAAUCAAUUGUCAGUGUUUUAAAGAUAUUAUUUAAAUGUAUCGAGUAGCUACAGAUUUGUCCUUGGCACAUAUGGUAAAGACUCUACAAUGUUUGAGCCUCUGACCUAUAGUGAUGACGUAAACUUUAUAUAGGUCUAUGCGCCGAGGGGACUGACCUAACCUUGGCAGCCUAUACUUGCAAUGAGGGGCGGUGAGCUAACCUGUGCCUUGCCCGCGAUAGGAACGAGUGCUGCCUGCUCUCUCAGGCAAAAUGUCUCUUCACCCUGCUGACGAACGCUAGAGGACACAUGAUUUUGUCAAAAGAAUGAUUAUUAGCAAAUUAUGGGGGGGGGGCUGCAGCCCCAAGCCCCUCCCGUUGAUACAGCCCUGGAUAGAGUUUAAAUCAGACAAAACAGGAUCGGUAUUUCAACAGCCAAUUUGCCACGGCGCAUGAACAACGCGGUAUAAAGAUUACAAAAAUCAUUAUUGUGUUAAAUUAUGACUGAAAAUGAGAUACAAUUCUAAAGAACAUUCUCGUUUACUGAUAUUUUUGUGUGUGUUUUUGACGUUGUUAAGAUUAUGCAACGCGCCAAAAACAUAGGGGGGCUCAGCCCCUCCAAGUCAACAUGAAAUUUUAACAAGGGGUGCUAAGCACCCUCCAGCCCUCCCUCCACUACACCACUUGGCCUAUCUUCUAAGCAAGGAAUUUUUUUUUUUGCACUAUGCCUGGGAAGAUUUUUUUUUUCUUAAUUUUUUUCUGGAAAUAAUUUUUUUUUUUGGUUUUGCCCCCCCCCCCAUCACUUUUCUAAUGGUCCGUCC